UACGAAGGGGGCUAGCGUUGUUCGGAAUUACUGGGCGUAAAGCGCGCGCAGGCGGUCUUCCAAGUCAGUGGUGAAAGCCCGGAGCUCAACUCCGGAACUGCCAUUGAAACUGUAAGACUUGAGGACGAGAGAGGUGAGUGGAAUUCCCAGUGUAGAGGUGAAAUUCGUAGAUAUUCGCAAGAACACCAGUGGCGAAGGCGGCUCACUGGCCCGGUACUGACGCUGAGGUGCGAAAGCGUGGGGAGCAAACAGG
rnacentral:rRNA from 1 species